rnacentral:rRNA from 1 species
AACGAACGCUGGCGGCAUGCCUAACACAUGCAAGUCGAACGAACCCUUCGGGGUUAGUGGCGCACGGGUGCGUAACGCGUGGGAAUCUGCCCUGUGCUUCGGAAUAACUCAGGGAAACUUGUGCUAAUACCGGAUGAUGUCUUCGGACCAAAGAUUUAUCGGCAAGGGAUGAGCCCGCGUAGGAUUAGGUAGUUGGCGGGGUAAAGGCCUACCAAGCCGACGAUCCUUAGCUGGUCUGAGAGGAUGAUCAGCCACACUGGGACUGAGACACGGCCCAGACUCCUACGGGAGGCGGCAGUGGGGAAUAUUGGACAAUGGGCGCAAGCCUGAUCCAGCAAUGCCGCGUGAGUGAUGAAGGCCCUCGGGUCGUAAAGCUCUUUUACCAGGGAUGAUAAUGACAUUACCUGGCGAAUAAGCUCCGGCUAACUCCGUG